rnacentral:rRNA from 1 species
UACAGAGGGUGCAAGCGUUGUUCGGAAUUAUUGGGCGUAAAGGGCGCGUAGGCGGCAUGGCAAGUGGAUGGUGAAAUCCCUCGGCUUAACCGAGGAACUGCCGUCCAAACUGCUUCGCUUGAGACCGGGAGAGGUGAGUGGAAUUCCCAGUGUAGCGGUGAAAUGCGUAGAUAUUGGGAGGAACACCAGUGGCGAAGGCGGCUCACUGGACCGGUACUGACGCUGAUGCGCGAAAGCGUGGGGAGCAAACGGG